rnacentral:misc_RNA from 1 species
GUGAAUCAUCGAAUUUUUGAACGCAAAUUGCACUCUCUUCGGAGAGGAUGCCUGUUUGAGUUUCAGCCUAAAAAAAAAUCGACAUAGUCGCUGGUUCGCGGUGACAUUCGUCGGGAAUUUUGUCCUCUUAAACCUUUGGGUUUUAAGCGGCUUAAAAUUUUCUUUUCGAUUCCACGAACGUUUCUAAGAUUUACUUCUUAUACGUUUAAGAUAU